UUAGCCCUAAACACAGAUAAUUACAUAAACAAAAUUAUUCGCCAGAGUACUACUAGCAACAGCUUAAAACUCAAAGGACUUGGCGGUGCUUUAUAUCCUUCUAGAGGAGCCUGUUCUAUAAUCGAUAAACCCCGAUAAACCUCACCAAUUCUUGCUAAUACAGUCUAUAUACCGCCAUCUUCAGCAAACCCUAAAAAGGAAAAAAAGUAAGCGUAAUUAUGAUACAUAAAAACGUUAGGUCAAGGUGUAACCUAUG
rnacentral:rRNA from 1 species